CCUACGGGAGGCAGCAGUGAGGAAUAUUGGUCAAUGGACGAGAGUCUGAACCAGCCAAGUAGCGUGAAGGAUGACUGCCCUAUGGGUUGUAAACUUCUUUUAUAUGGGAAUAAAACAGGGUAUGCAUACCCUCUUGUAUGUACCAUAUGAAUAAGGAUCGGCUAACUCCGUGCCAGCAGCCGCGGUAAUACGGAGGAUCCGAGCGUUAUCCGGAUUUAUUGGGUUUAAAGGGAGCGUAGGUGGAUUGUUAAGUCAGUGGUGAAAGUUUGCGGCUCAACCGUAAAAUUGCAGUUGAAACGGGCAGUCUUGAGUACAGUAGAGGUGAGCGGAAUGCGUGGUGUAGCGGUGAAAUGCUUAGAUAUCACGAAGAACCCCGAUUGCGAAGGCAGCCUGCCGCAGCGUUACUGACGCUGAAGCUCGAAAGCGCGGGUAUCGAACAGGAGUAGAUACCCCAGUAGUC
rnacentral:rRNA from 1 species